rnacentral:rRNA from 1 species
CAGUCGCCGCGGUAAUGCGGAGGAUCCAAGCGUUAUCCGGAUUUAUUGGGUUUAAAGGGUGCGUAGGCGGCCUAUUAAGUCAGGGGUGAAAGACGGUAGCUUAACUAUCGCAGUGCCUUUGAUACUGAUGGGCUUGAAUACACUUGAGGUAGGCGGAAUGUGACAAGUAGCGGUGAAAUGCAUAGAUAUGUCACAGAACACCAAUUGCGAAGGCAGCUUACUAAAGUGUCAUUGACGCUGAGGCACGAAAGCGUGGGGAUCAAACAGGAUUAGAUACCCGCGUAGUCCCUGUCUCUUAUAC